rnacentral:sRNA from 1 species
GGUCAGUCUAGGUCCCCUACCCAUCUCUAUGUGUGGUGUGAGGUGCUCUGCUCUACCCACACUGAGGGAGUGACCUUAGUUAAACAGAGACUAGGGAAAGAAUGCCAGGAAGUGGGACAACACCUACCUACUACCUGGACUGCAAAAAGAGGGUGCUCAUGCUAUCUUAAGUGAAAGGAAUCUCCAGGACAGAGGCAUGAAAAUGUGUCCGGAAUUGGUGGGUUCUUGGUCUCACUGACUUCAAGAAUGAAGCCGCAGACACUCGCAGUGAGUGUUACAGCUCUUAAGGUGGCGCAUCUGGAGUUUGUUCCUUCUGAUGUUUGGAUAUGUUCGGAGUUUCUUCCUUGUCGUGGGUUCGUGGUCUCGCUGGCUCAGGAGUGAAGCUGCGGACCUUCGCAGGGCAUUUGGAGAGAGAAGAAGCUGGGUCACAUGCCAGGAAUGCUUCAGUAACUGCAUCCCAGGAAUUACCAAAUUAGCCAAAGCUCAUGCAGAGCCAUCUCCCCACUACUGCUGGGGUGCCUGACAGGGAGAGGUUCUGGAGAGCCUGGAGCUCCCUCACCAAGAAGAAAGCAUGAGGAGGGGAGGGGCUGGGGAAGGGGAGGGACCAGGAAACUCCUCCUCUCCAGAGUCUGCCCCUGGGAGAAGAGGGCAGAGUGCCACCCAGACACCUCGCUUGUCCACUCAUGCUUGAGGGUGUCAAGUUGUCUCUUGCAGUGCAGACAAGCUGCACCAAAGUGUCCACACUCUCCUUAGCCAAGCUGAGGGCAGGGAGAGUGGGU